CCACCGCCACCCCCUCCCUUUUCAUCCCCCUCUCUCCCUUCUAUUCCUCUUCUCAUCCCCUCUAUUUCCUCCCCCCCUCCUCCUCCUCCCUCUUUUCUCUCCUUUCUCCCUUCUCUCCCCUCCCCUCCUUCCCCCCAACCUCAAAGGCCCAAACUCCUCUCCUGCUCGUAGGUGGUGGUUGCGACUUUAGCCACCAUUCUAACCACGAUCGUCUUGGUCGCCGCUCCUAAUCACAAUCAGAUUUGAUCAUGACUUGGAAGGUUGUAGCCAGUAGAGGAGAAGGAAAUUGGGGGGGUGAGGAAAGGGAAAAAAUAAAGAGAGGAAGAGGAAAAAAAUGAGAAGGUGAGGAAACAUGGGCGGAGAGAGAGAGAUGGUCGUGGGUGUGGGGGUGGUGACCGUGGUGGUGAUGAGUAGUGGUGUAUUUUUUUUUUAUAUUUGGAAUUAUUUUUGAUACAUUGUAUAGAUAUGGUGUUUUUGAAUUAUUUUUGUUUGUGUAUUACUGUAAUAAUGUAUAUGAAAAACUCGUUUUUCAAAAAUUAAUGAAUCUAAACAGAGCAACAUUUUUAUAAC
rnacentral:lncRNA from 1 species